rnacentral:rRNA from 1 species
UACGUAGGGCGCAAGCGUUGUCCGGAAUUAUUGGGCGUAAAGAGCUCGUAGGCGGCUUGUCACGUCGGGUGUGAAAGCCCGGGGCUUAACCCCGGGUCUGCAUUCGAUACGGGCUAGCUAGAGUGUGGUAGGGGAGAUCGGAAUUCCUGGUGUAGCGGUGAAAUGCGUAGAGAUCGGGAGGAACAUCAGUUGCGAAGGCGGCUCUCUGGACCAGUACUGACGCUGAGGCACGAAAGCGUGGGGAGCAAACAGG